AGUCCAUGAUAUGGACAAAGUCUCAUCAUAUCCGUGUACCUUUCCCAUGCUUCAAAAUGUGAUUUUACAUCUUUCUAUUUAAAUCCGUUGAUUUGGCUUCUUAGCAU